UACAGAGGGUGCAAGCGUUAAUCGGAAUUACUGGGCGUAAAGCGUGCGUAGGCGGUAGCGUAAGUCGGGCGUGAAAUCCCACGGCUCAACCGUGGAAGUGCACUCGAAACUGCGUAGCUAGAGUCCUGGAGAGGAAGGUGGAAUGCUUGGUGUAGAGGUGAAAUUCGUAGAUAUCAAGCGGAACACCGGUGGCGAAGGCGGCCUUCUGGACAGUGACUGACGCUGAGAUGCGAAAGCGUGGGGAGCAAACAGG
rnacentral:rRNA from 1 species